UGUGGAAAUUCAUCUUCAUCGCUGGUCGGAAACGUGUCACGUUUCAUCCCUCCGGUUACCCAGGAAUCGUGGGAGCUGCAACAGGUGGAAAGCCUCCAACAGCUCGACGUGGGGGCUCAAUGGACUGGUGUGACCUGGCUGUACGGACGCUGAGACUCUCGGAUCCGGUAUGAGACUUGCAGGUCAUAGACGACAGGUGAAACAACUUUAACAACGGUGAACGGACCGGAAAACUUCGG